rnacentral:tRNA from 1 species
UCAGACGUAACACAAAGGCAGAUGUAAUCGGCUGUUAACCGAGAGUAUGUGGGUUCGAAUCCCUCCGUCUGAGC